rnacentral:rRNA from 1 species
AGAGUUUGAUCCUGGCUCAGGAUGAACGCUGGCGGCGUGCCUAAUACAUGCAAGUCGAGCGAACCACUUCGGUGGGAAGCGGCGAACGGGUGAGUAACACGUAGGUGAUCUGCCCAUCAGACGGGGACAACGAUUGGAAACGAUCGCUAAUACCGGAUAGGACGAAAGUUUAAAGAUGCUCCUGGCAUCACUGAUGGAUGAGCCUGCGGCGCAUUAGCUAGUUGGUGGGGUAAAGGCCUACCAAGGCGACGAUGCGUAGCCGACCUGAGAGGGUGAACGGCCACACUGGGACUGAGGCACGGCCCAGACUCCUACGGGAGGCAGCAGUAGGGAAUCUUCGGCAAUGGGCGAAAGCCUGACCGAGCAACGCCGCGUGAAUGAAGAAGGCCUUCGGGUUGUAAAAUUCUGUUAUAAGGGAAGAAAGGUGAUAGGAGGAAAUGACUAUCAAUUGACGGUACCUUAUGAGAAAGCCACGGCUAACUACGUG